GGAUGGAUCAUUAUCACGUAUCUCACGUAUAAACCAUUGUGAACUGUAUUUUACCUUCUGAUAUGACUAAAAGUGGAGGAGUUUUUUGAUUUGAGGAGAAGCAAUUUUUCUUUAAAAAAAAUAACUCUUUUGUCUUAUCAGAUUGUAAUUUCACUUUUAAACAUUAACAAUUUAAACCUAAACUAAUUAAAUUAUUGAACUGAUCUAUUUCUUACUCUUUUAAUCGGGAGAAGAAAUUUCAUUACGAAACAUAAGAACAACUCUUAGCAACGGAUAUCUUGGUUCUCGUAACGAUGAAGAACGCAGCGAAAUGCGAUACGUAAUGCGAAUUGCAGAAUUCAGUGAAUCAUCAAAUCUUUGAACGCAAAUUGCGCCUUCUGGAUAGGCCAGAGGGCAUGCCUCUUUGAGCAUCGUUUCUACCCUCUCUCGACUGCUUUCCUUGCGAUUGCAUUGUCGGGGAUAAUGAGAUGUCGCAUUCGAUAAUGAAUGAGUCUCUUUAAGAAGCGUGAGUUUCCUAAACUCCUAGUGUAAGACUUUCGGGUCGCCUAUUGUUAGGUUAUUUUUCACUAGUGACAUGGAUAAAAUUUUAUUUUAUGUCACUAGAGAUGAUGCAAUAACAGUAGGUCAAACAUAAGGUAAAUUGGAACUCGGUUUGAAAAUUAUAUUUUUUGAAUUAGAUCUCAAAUGAAGCAAGACUACCCGCUGAACUUAAGCAUAUUAUUAAGCGGAGGAAAAGAAACUAACAAGGAUGCCCUCAGUAACGGCGAGUGAAGCGGGCAAAGCUCAACCUGAAAAUCGGGUUUCCAAACGGGAUCUCGAAUUGUGGGCUACAGACGCGUGAUCAGUGUGUGACCCGGGUAUAAGUGUUGUUGGAAAACGCUAACAUAGAGGGUGAUAUUCCCGUCCGUGACCUGGAGUUCGCCGCGUACGAUCCGUGUUCGCAGAGUCGCGUUGUUUGGGAUUGCAGCGCUAAAUGGGUGGUAAAUUUCAUCUAAAGCUAAAUAUCGACGAGAGACCGAUAGCGAACAAGUACCGUGAGGGAAAGAUGAAAAGAACUUUGAAAAGAGAGUUAAAAAGUACUUGAAAUUGCUAAGAGGGAAGCACUGGAAACCAGUUCUUACUGCAUGCAUUUUUAAUACCCGCUCCUGGAUUGCAGAAUCUGUGGUGAGCCAAAAGCCACCCUGGCGUUGCAUGAAAAUGUGGGUAUGUCGUGUAUGUAGUUAAGUCAGAAUCAAUUCGAUUCGUGAGAGAAAGCUAUUACAACGGUAGGAGCUCGGGGGGCAACUCUCAAGUUCUGCUUAGUGUAGUAGUGCUAUCAUGGUUUGGAUUGAGGUACAAUCGUAAUGCGCACCACUAGGUUAGCUGGCCUACUUCCCUGGGAGAUCAAGAGGAUUGGACAACAAAGUUGUGCGUUCUCUGAAGUUUCCUACUGGUUGGAGUGUCUAAGCAGCUGCAUUCGAGAUUCUGACAAAAUGGUUUUCAUUGACCCGUCUUGAAACACGGACCAAGGAGUCUAACAUAUAUGCGAGUAUUUGGGCCUGGAAACCCUUAUGCGCAAUGAAAGUGAAUGAGGUGUAUGCCUCUGAGGUAGGAACCGGUGUUUAUGACAUCGGGGCACUAUCGACCGAUCAGUCACUUGUGGCAGAUUUGAGUAUGAGCAUAUCUGUUGGGACCCGAAAGAUGGUGAUCUAUGCCUGAACAGGGCGAAGCCAGGGGAAACUCUGGUGGAGGCUCGUAGCGAUACUGACGUGCAAAUCGUUCGUCUGAUUUGGGUAUAGGGGCGAAAGACUAAUCGAACCAUCUAGUAGCUGGUUCCCUC
rnacentral:misc_RNA from 1 species